rnacentral:rRNA from 1 species
AUUGAACGCUGGCGGCAUGCCUUACACAUGCAAGUCGAACGGUAGAGGGCUUCGGCCUUCGAGAGUGGCGAACGGGUGAGUAAUGCAUCGGAACGUACCGUGUAAUGGGGGAUAACGUAGCGAAAGUUACGCUAAUACCGCAUACGCCCUGAGGGGGAAAGCGGGGGAUCGUAAGACCUCGCGUUAUACGAGCGGCUGAUGUCGGAUUAGCUAGUUGGUGGGGUAAAGGCCCACCAAGGCAACGAUCCGUAGCGGGUCUGAGAGGAUGAUCCGCCACACUGGGACUGGGACACGGCCCAGACUCCUACGGGAGGCAGCAGUGGGGAAUUUUGGACAAUGGGGGCAACUCUGAUCCAGCCAUGCCGCGUGAGUGAAGAAGGCCUUCGGGUUGUAAAGCUCUUUCGGCCGGGAAGAAAUCGCGCCCUCUAAUACGGGGUGUGGAUGACGGUACCGGACUAAGAAGCACCGGCUAACUACGUGCCAGCAGCCGCCGCCGUAA